rnacentral:rRNA from 1 species
GUAAGGAAUAUUGGUCAAUGGGCGGAAGCCUGAACCAGCCAUGCCGCGUGCAGGACGACGGCCCUACGGGUUGUAAACUGCUUUUGCCCGGGAAUAACCCCCCGCUCUUGAGCGGGGCUGAACGUACCGGGAGAAUAAGGAUCGGCUAACUCCGUGCCAGCAGCCGCGGUAAUACGGAGGAUCCGAGCGUUAUCCGGAUUUAUUGGGUUUAAAGGGUGCGUAGGCGGCCUGUUAAGUCAGGGGUGACAUACGGCAGCUCAACUGUCGCAGUGCCCUUGAUACUGACGGGCUUGAAUACCGGUGAAGGCGGCGGAAUGAGACAAGUAGCGGUGAAAUGCAUAGAUAUGUCUCAGAACCCCGAGUGCGAAGGCAGCUGCCUAACCGGCGAUUGACGCUGAUGCACGAAAGCGUGGGGAUCGAACAGGAUUAGAAACCCUUGUAGUCC